CCACAUUGGUCCACUUAUUCCCCAAUUGCAGCAAACAUGCAGCACUUGAGAAACAGACAGUAGCCAUCAGUCAUCGUAGUUUGUGGAACCCUCCCCCUUUGCUAUGUCCUGAUAGCAGAUUAAUAAGAAACUUCAAACAUUAAAUUUAGAGUGGGGUUCAGAUGCAUACUUUUUUGCUUAUGAAUGAAAACUAGGCCAAUUUAGUUCAUGAUGAUCCUGCAACAAAUGGUACUCUUCUAUUGCAAUUUCGAUAUAUGUGUCACCGGAUAUUAUUCUCUUUAAAAUAUUAACUAGAUGAAAUAUAUAACGUUCAUACUUAUAAAUUUUUUAAAAUUUCUUUAUUAAUUCGAUGUGAAAUUAAAAUACUUUAUUUAUUUUUUUAAAACACUUGACAUGAUGCAUGCACUAUUAAUCAAGGUACUCUCCAGAACUAAUAGUACUCUUCUGUUAGCUUCACAAAGUUAUGAUGUAAAGCUAACAACUUCAAUCUAUGUAUCACGAAUUACUUUUUAUUUUUUUUUUAAAAAAAGAUUAAUUUAAUGAGACGUGUAAUGUCUGUCUUUGAAAUUAUUAUAUUAAUAAAAAUAAAAUAUAUACUAAUAAGUUAUAAACUGAGUCGCCGACAGCUAAAAUUUGGCAGAAAAGAGUAUUAAUUGGAGGUAAGAUGCAUUCUUACCUAUAAUCUAUUGCUUUUAGCCUUGUUUCUGUCAAAACUACAGUUGGGAAUGUGAUACAUGCAAAGGCAUAUAGAGGUAAGUAUGGCAAGAGCUAGAGCAGGCCAUAGCCCCUUCCAAAUGGAAAGAAAGGAAUUGAUAAUUGACCCAUGAUAAAGAAAGACACUAUCAUCG
rnacentral:lncRNA from 1 species